rnacentral:rRNA from 1 species
GAUGAACGCUGGCGGCGUGCCUAAUACAUGCAAGUCGAGCGAACAGACGAGGAGCUUGCUCCUCUGACGUUAGCGGCGGACGGGUGAGUAACACGUGGAUAACCUACCUAUAAGACUGGGAUAACUUCGGGAAACCGGAGCUAAUACCGGAUAAUAUAUUGAACCGCAUGGUUCAAUAUUGAAAGACGGUUUUGCUGUCACUUAUAGAUAUAUCCGCUCCGCAUUAGCUAGUUGGUAAGGUAACGGCUUACCAAGGCAACGAUCCGUAGCCGACCUGAGAGGGUGAUCGGCACAACUGGAACUGAGACACGGUCCAGACUCGUACGGGAGGCAGCAGUAGGGAAUCUUCCGCAAUGGGCGAAGGCCUGACGGAGCAACGCCGCGUGAGUGAUGAAGGUCUUCGGAUCGUAAAACUCUGUUAUUAGGGAAGAACAAAUGUGUAAGUAAAUAUGCACGUCUUGACGGUACCUAAUCAGAAAGCCACGGCUAACUACGUG